rnacentral:rRNA from 1 species
UACGAAGGGUGCAAGCGUUACUCGGAAUUACUGGGCGUAAAGCGUGCGCAGGCGGUUUUGCACGGCAGAUGUGAAAUCCCCGGGCUCAACCUGGGAACUGCAUUUGUGACUGCAAGGCUAGAAUCUGGCAGAGGGGGGUAGAAUUCCACGUGUAGCAGUGAAAUGCGUAGAUAUGUGGAGGAAUACCGAUGGCGAAGGCAGCCCCCUGGGCUAAGAUUGACGCUCAUGCACGAAAGCGUGGGGAGCAAACAGG